CUCACUCAGCUCUCCGGAUUUUAAGCUGGGACCUUUUGGUCUGCAAGUUCAGCAGCUCAGCACUUUAACACACUGAGCCAGGUCUUAAUGAAGGAUAUAAGGACAAACAAUGACUAAAAUGAUGGGAAGAGGAGCUUGGGAAGUCCCUCCCCCCCCCCCAAUAAUGGGCCAAAGAGAAAACGACUCUUACAGCUUCUCUGACCAAAAACAUAUUUCUGUCCUCGCAAAUUCAAGAGGCUCCCAAAAAAACAGAUCAGGACCCCCACUGAAAUCCAGUACACGGAAAAGGGUUACAGUUUACCCUGAUUGCACAAGCUUAGAAGCCAGCAGCUAUCACUGUUUAUUUUUGUUGCCAUUGAAAUUAAUUGUGCACCAUAGAAAUUCAGCGGCAACCCAUUUGCAACAUAGAGUCCUGCCAAUGUUGAGAUCAAAAUGUCUACUUUCCUUUUGGAAUGAAAGAAAACGUUCUUCUAUUUCUCCCCCAUUUUCUUUCCCAUUAUGUUUUGGCAGUGCAAUACUGAAAUAGCAUAUGUGUCCAGUGGCCUAAGGACUACCGUGCUUAACCCUUAUUAGAUUUAGUUGACCAUAGCAUUGUGAUGGAGAAUGUUGAAAUUCCUAGAGAGGUGUUUUUUCAGAUAAAAAAUUAGCAUUUUGAAUUUUGUAUUUUCCUCACCUUCACAGGAAUCUUGCAUUCCUAACUCCAGUGAAUGUGAAGGGUUUAUUCAAUAGCAUUUAUUAUUCCUUGGUAGCCUCCCAUCUAACACGUAACCAGGGCUGACUCUGCUGACUUUCCAUACUCAGACAGUCUCUGGUUCCUUUAAUAAUAACUUUUAUAAUAACUUUAUUUUUAUAUCCAGCCUCCAUUUCCCCGAAGGGAAUUGGGGCGGCUUAAAUGAGGACAAGCCAACAAAGAUUAAAACCAAACAUAGAUUAAAACAUAUCUCAAUACAGUCAACGACAUUAUAACAAGACAAUAACAUAAACACAGCAUCAUCAACAGCCAAUAGUCUUUAGGAUAUUUUGGGCUUUCUGGGGACUGUAGCCCCCAAAAUACGGCUUCAGAGUUGUAGGAAGAUUAUUUUACUUUCCAAAGGUUUCCUUUUUGUGACCCUCUCCACUUUUGUGCACUGAUAGGAUCAAACUCGGCAGAAAAAUAGGAUGGCAUGCCUGUGUUUGGAGAGCGGGAGAGAGAGUAAUCAUUUCAAAUGCCAACAUUUAUUAAAUGCUGCUCAUUUCACAGGCUGCCCAAGAUGAACAUAACAGGAGAGCCUUUGGCAUCCAGCGAGAAAAAGAAAGCGAGAAAUAUUGAUUGAAAUAAACUGCAGUGUAACUUCCAGGAUCCUUGCUCAAUACUUAUUAUAUGGCUCUGUAGACCGCAGCAAAGCCCACAAGGGCUGGCAAAUUCAGCAAAGCAGUUACAGAAAUGUCAAAUCAUGAUCUUUGCUUGAUGAACACUUGUCUGUCUGAUUCCCCCAUUUAGGGUCUGACUAAAUGGAAACACAGCCGCAAAUGGAAACAGUAUUGAAAUCCCAGUCUCUCACUUCCUUAGUCAGUGCAUCAUGUGCGUGAUGGAAGGGGUGGUUGUGAAUUGUGAGUGGUGUUUGCAGAUGAUGCAGAUAGUUGACUGUCUGCUACUACUAUUUUUCUUGUUGUUGUUCCAAAUAACAUACUCAUGGAAGGUAAAUUGUAGGGGUGAUAUGGAAACAUGAUUUAUAUAUUCAGUUUUAUCAUUUAUUUACUGUAUUGUUAUAAGUGUUUUAUUUAACUUACUAUAUGGAGUGUAAUCACAUUUUAUCAAGCCUUUUUGUUUGGUUUGGUACUGUGAUAUGGCCUAAGGGAUAAUCAAUAAAUGUACUACUAUCUUUCUUGUUGUUCCAAAUAGCAUACUCAUGGAAGGUGAUUUACAGAGCUACAUUAAACAAACACCAUCACCAUCAUCAUCAUGGUGUGGCACAGGCUGUGGUGCAGGCUGGUUAGCAGCCAGCUGCAAUAAAUCACUCUGACCAAGAGGUCAUGAGUUUGAAGCCAGCCCGUGUCAGGGUGAGCACCCGACAAUUAAAAAAUAAUAAUAAUAGCCCCUGCUCGUUAUUGACCUAAGCAACCCGAAAGAUAGUUGCAUCUAUCAAGUAGGAAAUUUAGGUACCAUUUAUAUGUGGGGAGGCUAAUUUACGACACCAUAAAAGUUAUCCAGCCGCCGUUGGAAUGAGGAAGUUGCCAUCAUAGUGGAUGAUAAAGCAGCUGCUCCCCCUGUGGCCGGAAUCAAGCAUAUCCUCAGGAAGCUGGAGAAGGUUUAAAUUGCCUCUGCGUCUGUCUCUGUUCUAUGCUUAUAUGGCAUUGAAUGUUUGCUUUAUAUGUGUACAAUGUGAUCCGCCCUGAGUCCCCUUCGGGGUGAGAAGGGCGGAAUAUAAAUACUGUAAAUAAAUAAAUAAAUAAAUAAAUAAAAUCAUCAACAACAACAACAACAAACAUCCACUUGCCAUGAAUUCUUUGAAAUUAAAAUUGUAAGCACAUUGGAGCAGGUGGGGACCUGUCCUUUUUAUUACCAUGCUAGGUGAAAUAAUAAUCGUUGGGAUAGCCAGUAGAAGCAAGUACAAAACAGAGGGAAAAGGAGAGUCAUUAAAUUACAGAGCACAUGUUUUGGUUGAAGAAAGUCCUAAAGAAUCAGCUAAGAAGUCAUGAUGCAAAGGUCCCAUCUCUGCCUAAGACUUGGAAGAGCUGCUGCCAAUGGACAACAAUGGGCUAGACGCAAGCUAGAGUAUUGUAUUGUAUUUAAUGUGAUGCUGCCUUUGAAACUAUAACAGCAAGGAUUCUUAUUGGGAUUCCUUGUUCAGAUGUGUUAAUAUUUUAUCAGCUAGCUUGUCUGAAUGCUGUAAAGAAAGACACCUAUAUUGGAAGCUAAGCAGUGUUAUCCCUGAUUGUAUCUGGACGGAAGAUUGCCAAUGAAUACCAGAUGCUCCAGGUCAGUGGUUCUCAACUUGGGGUCCCCAGAUGUUUUUGGCCUUCAACUCCCAGAAAUCCUAAACUGGCUGGGAUUUCUGGGAGUUGUAGGCCAAAAACAUCUGGGGACCCCAGGUUGAAAACCACUGCUCUAGGCUAUAUUGCAGGGGAAGGAACUGGCAAAACCACCUCUGAGUAUUCCUUGCCUUAUGAAACUCAUGAGGCUGCUAUAUGUCAACAUGACAGGCUUAUGGCAACACUCACAUACACACACUGUUACAGUCACAUUUCUUUAAAGUGCUGGCUUUAAUUUUUCAUUACCUAAAUCCUUUAGGGUCAAACUACUUUCCUCCAUACCAACAUGCCUUAUUACCUUAUCACAUUGAGACACUUCAGCCUCUAUUCAACCACGGAGAGACACUGAUCUCAUCACAUGAGCUAAACUACUUCUGGCAGUCAUGCAUAGCCCUCCAUAGUUGAAAAGAGGCAGAAGUGUCCUGAAAGGAGGCAAUUCCGGCAAUCAACCUCAUCACAUUGAGAAAAUUCUCUCUUGUAGGACACUUCAGCCUCUUUUCAAACAUGGAGAGGCACAGAGCUCAUCACAUGGACCAGGGUUGAAAAGAGGCAGAAAUGUCUUGAAAGGAGGAAACUCUGAACAUGGGCCAGCAAUAGUGUUCAGAGCUCCUACGUCUUAUUGCACGUUACUCACAUCUUUACAACUGAAAAACAGGUGGGAUGGGAAAAAUUUCCCAUCCUGUUUCAUUGUCCAACCAUCAUCAGUUCUGUUGUAUUCUAUGGGGUUAAAUGCAGAGCAAUAGGAUCUCAUUGAAAGCAAUGGUUUAAACCCGCAUCACUGCCUCUUGUGUCCUCUGGGGUUUGGGGCAAAACAAUCUUUACCAUGAGAAGGUGAGGUUUUAAACUGGUAUCAGUCUCCUUUAAUGUAAGGGGCUUUGGGCAGAGCAAGGGAUCUCUUGGUUUUCCGAUAUUGUUCUUUCUCCUGAUUAGAAACAAAAAAGUAAUACUGACUUUUCGAUGAAUGUAAGAUUAAUGUAUUACCAGCUCUCUAAUUUCCACAUGUGAGUUUGAGUGUGAUGGGGAGGCAGAACGUGAAACGUGACUGCUGAUGAUAUAAGGCCAGGAAGACAUCUUUCCACCAUGUCUCCUGUAUCAAUUUAAUGAUAUAAUAAUAUAUAAUAAUAUUAUACUAUACUAAUAUUAUAAUAUAUUAUAGGUAAAGGUAAAGAUUUUCCCCUGACGUUAAGACCAGUCGUGACCGACUCUGGGGGUUGGCGCUCAUCUCCAUUUCUAAGCCGAAGAGCCAGCGUUGUCCAUAGACACCUCCAAGGUCAUGUGGCCGGCAUGACUGCAUGGAGUGCCGUUACCUUCCCACAGCCUCGGGUUUGUGAUGCGCUAGUAAGAAGACAGCUCGGUCACACCCAAGGUCAAAUGGUAAAGAGUCCGGGCUAAAAAUAUUUCCUAAAUGGCAUCUAAAUGCAAAUAGGUUUUGAAACAGAAAUAUACUAGGCACCUUCAGGCUAGGUUAUUGCAAGAUAUAUCACAUGGGGUUACCAUCUGCAGGAGAAGAAUGAAGUGGGUGAUGUGGAAGCUCAGGGCAAACCUGACCCUCAAGCCCUAGAACAUCUACAAAUGCACAACUCUUCUCCAUUUGGAAGGAAUUCUGGCACGAAAAAAAGUUUCAAUGAUGUUUGCCUUCAAAAUAAACAACUAGCUUCCCUGAAAGUAACAUAAUGCAGGCUGGAUCUACACUGCCCUGUAUCCCAGGAUCUGAUCCCAGAUUAUUUGUUUGUCCCAGAUUAUCUGACACUGUAAUAACGUAUAAUCCAGUUCAAAGCAGAUAAUCUGGGAUCAGAUCCUGGGCUAUAGGGCAGCGUAGAUCCAGCCUCAGAUUUGUAGGACAGCUGAAAGGGCAAAACCAUUCCCUUGGCGCAUAACUAAGGUUGCCUUCUAUGUUUUGUAUGGUAUACAGUGUUCCCUCACUACUUCGCGGUUCGCUUUUUGUGGAUUUGCUGUUUUUGUCACACCUCAGAAUAGCUUCACCUUGCUGAACACACCAGGCUGUACACAGGUUGAAGUCUUUUGUAGUUUAUUAGGAAAUAGGAAAUAAAUAGUUCUUAAAAAGCAAAAGUAAAGAUCCAAAAGAUUGUUGCAAAACCAAGGCUAUAAAGAAUAAUCCAAGAAAAUCUUAGGCAUAAAACAAGGUUGCAUUAAUACAUGGCAUAGUCCCAUGAACUUGAUUACAGGAUAAUCCAAGAAAGCAAGAGCUCCUCCUAACUCAAACGAGGCGUUGCUUUUGACAAAGGUUUCUUUCUCAGCACACCCUUUAAUAUUCUCUGCACAGCAUGAAUGCAUUUCUUUGCCCUCUGACCUCUUUCUCUUUUUUGUUUACUAUUCCGACACAGCCAUCUCGAUCCAGAGAUGCCAUUACAUCAAGGCCAGAUAGCUCGUUAGCAGCAGCCUCUGUCUGCUUGCUAUCUAACGGGAAGCUGUCCUCCCUUUGCACCUGGCUAGCUUCGGUAUCAUCAACACCAUUCCCUGCCGUGGGAAUGCCUCCCUGCUCCUCAUCUCUCACAACAGGGACACUCUGAACCUGAAUUCCCAUCAGAGUCAUCUUGAACCUGAAUCCCAUCAUCGUGAACAUCUGAAACAUCUGGAACCUGAAUCCCACAAUCCCCAUCAGAGUCAUUCUGAGACUCCAGCUGAGUCACAAUAGUUUUGUGGUUUUUCAAUAAACGCUAAAAGAAUAUUAAAGGUAAAGGUUUUCCCCUGACGUUAAGUCCAGUCGUGACCUACUCUGGGGGUUGGUGCUCAUCUCCAUUUCUAAGCCGAAGAGCUGGCGUUGUCCGUAGACACCUCCAAGGUCAUGUGGCCGGCAUGACUGCAUGGAGCGCCGUUACCUUCCUGCCGGAACAGUACCUAUUGAUCUACUCACAUUAGCAUGUUUUCGAAGUGCUAGGUUGGCAGGAGCUGGGGCUAACAGUGGUGGCUCAUUCCGCUCCCAGGAUUUGAACCUGGGACCUUUCGGUCUGCAAGUUCAGCAGCUCAGCGCUUUAUCACACUGCGCCACCACCAGGGGCCCCACCACCAUAUAUAAUAUAUGAUAUAAUAAAUAAUAUAAUAAACCAUAAAUAAUUAUGAAUUUCCCUUCCUUCCUUUCUCUUUCUCCUUCCUUCCUAAGGAGAAGCUCAAGGAAGGAGGAAGGAAGGAAGAAGCCGAAGGGAGAGAAAAGGAGGCUGAAGCAGCUUCGUGAGAUUGUAAACAACACAGUCGAGCAGCAUCAGUGAGAUUGUAAACAACACAAAUAUAGUGUCCCUACUUUGCGGAUUUUCACUUUUUGCGGGUGGUCCUGGAAUGUAACCCUCGCGAUAAAUGAGGUACAGUGUUUUAAGAGAGAUAGUUCUAGGUCUAGUGGCACGUGAUGAUACAGUGCUUUAGGUCGGUGUCCAGUUUUGGACGUCACAAUUCAAGAGUGAUAUUGAAAAGCUGAAAGGCGUCCAGAGAAGGACCAAAAAUCGUCAAAAGUCUGGAAGUCUUUUGUGAGGAGCAGCUUAGGGAGCUGAGUAUGUUUAGCUUGGAGAAGAGACAUACGUGAUAGCCAUGUUUAAAGAUUUGACAUUAUGCCACAUUGAAAAUGGAGCAAGCUUGUUUUGCUGCCCUAGAGCAGUGGUCCUCAACAUGUGGGUCCCCAGGUGUUUUGGCCUACAACUCCCAGAAAUCCCAACCAAUUUACCAGCUGAGCAAGGAUCCAAAACAUCUACAGGUUGAGAAUCACUGCUCUAGAGCUUGAGAUUCAAACUGCAGAACAAGAGAAUUUGUCUAAUCACUUGGAAGUACUUCCCGACAGUAAGAGCUAUGGCCCCUUCCACACAGCUCAAUAAAAUUUUCUGCUUUGAACUGGAAUAUAUGGCUGAGUGGACUCAGAUAACCAGUUCAAAACAUAUAUUGUGGUGUUUUCUGCCUUAAUAUUCUGGGUUAUAUGGCUGUGUGGAAGGGCCCUGUGUUACAAUGUAAUACGUUGCCUUGGAGUCGCCUUCUCCGGAAGUUUUUAAAAAUAAGCUGGAUGGCUAUCUACUGAGAGUGGUUGGAUUAUGUCUUCCUGCCUGGCAGAAUGGCGUUGGACUUGAUGGUCCUUAUGGUCCCUUCUGCUUCUAUGAUUCUGUGGCCCCAAGCAUUGAAAGUGUUGAACAAUUGCUGAUAGCCUACAGAGUGGUCAUGUAGCCUAUUAUACACUUUGAUUUGGAGGGAGGUCAGGGAUGGUCUUCUGUUUCAAUGGUUCUUGACUUUUGACUUUUCUAUGUAACAAUAUUUGAAAAAUGUUCUGUUCCUGGUUUGAAAGUGUUAUUUACUGUUUAAUUGUGCAGUAUGUACUUUUAAUUGUGCAGUACAGUAGUUGUUUUUGCGAUUGGCACAAACUACCCUGUUUCCCUAAAAAUAAGACAUCCCCAAAAAAUAAGACCUAGUAUAGGUUUUGCUGAAUUGCUAAAUAUAAGGCCUCCCCCGAAAGUAAGACCUAGCAAAGGUUUUGUUUGGAGGCAUGCCCGACACCCGCCAAACAAAACACCAGAGCAUGCAGGAUUGGUAAAUGUACAUACCAGUUGUACAUGAAAAUAAUAGUAGUAACAGGAAAUUCUUGACAGGAGUCACAGUUUGUUUGGUUUGGUUAUGUUGGUUUGUGAUAACAACUACUGUACAGUAUAUAAAAAUGUUCAUUUUUUGUUCAACAAUAAAUGUGAAUUCUUCUUCAUGGAAAAAUAAGACAUCCCCUGAAAAUAAGACCUAGCACAUCUUUGGGAGUAAAAAAUAAUAUAAGACACUGUCUUAUUUUCGGGGAAACACGGUAUAUUGAAUUGGUUGACACUCUAUGAGAUAUUCAUUGAAAAACUAUUGCAAAAUGUGCUUCAGGGUAGUUUCAUAAACUUUUCCAAUGUUUUCAUGAUAGAACCAAUUAGGAAAUGACAUUUAUAACCCAGCAACAAAAAUUGUGUUACAUGGUGUAUUUUUUGCUUCCAUUCUCACAAUCCUUGAUCAUUUUUCAUGCUGGUUGGGGCUUCUGGGAGUUGACGAAAACAACUGAAUGUUCAAAGGUCAAGAAUCCUUACUCUGCUUGAAGGUCUUCUCAGUAUGAAAGACUAUUCAGGUCAAGUUGGGAUGAUGAGAAGGAAGGACCAGGGUCCCUUCCAGAUCAACAGAUUCUGGAUGGAAACAAAGUAAACUGGUCACCGUCUUCCUCGAUAUGGUGGGAUUCAUUGUAUUUCUAUGUAUACCAUUGAGGAAAUAGAGAAUAUGUCAUGGUAGAGUCACACAGUGGUUGUACAAUGCUGUCUUUUUUACUGAAUAGACACAUUGGUGAUUUAGCAGUCCAGUGUGCAAUAUAUUUAUUAUUUAUUUAUUUAUUUACAGCAUUUAUAUUCCGCCCUUCUCACCCCGAAGGGGACUCAGGGUGGAUCACAUCACACAUAUAGGCAAACAUUCAAUGCCUUUUUAACACAGAACAAAGACAGACAAACACAGGCUCCGAGCGAGCCUCGAACUCACGACCUCCUGGUCAGAAUGACCCAUUGCAGCAAUUCCUUGCAGCUGCUCUCCAGCCUGCGCCACAGCCUGAGCCCGAACUGUGUACAUCCACAGUUCACAAUGGCGGCCCUAUACAUACAAUGUGCAUGCAAGAUGAUGCUACAUGUGCAAAUCUGCCUUUGCCAGUGGCCAUGUGAAAAGGGAUAUUCUGAGGCCCCAUCCACACUAUCAUAUUAUAUUCAGAUUAUUUACUUUUAUAAUCUGAUUUAUAUGGCAGUGUAAAUCUAGACUGAGAGUUGCAGUAAAAACUCCCUCUUUUAAAGUUUUGGUAGUGCUAUAUCCUUAUUGGCCAUAUUUUCAAUGAAGCAUUGUGUAUGUUUUUGUGUGUAUGAACUGCAUUCUUUUGAUUGCUGAUUCUUAUAGGUCUGUCAUUACCCAUGGCAUAAAUGGACCCAUCUACACUGCCAUAUAAAAUCCAGAUUUUCUGCUUUGAACUGGAUUAUAUGGCAGUGUAGACUCAUAUAAUCCAGUUCAAUAAUCUGGUUUAUCUACUUUGAUAAUCUGGAUUUUAUGGCAGUGUAGAUCCAGUCUAAGAAAAAGAUGUCUCUGUCAGCUGAAGAAAAUAAAGCCAUUCUUGUGCAUCCUCACUUCUUUUCAUGAUAAUUUUGCAUUGUCCCCAUAUAAUGUUCUGGAUAGUCUACUGAAAUACCAAAGCUUGGAAACUGGACUUGGUAGUUGAUUUAUUUGUUGUAGGCUUCAGUUCCUAGUCGCCUGCAUGGCUACUAAGUUAGUUUCCCAAGCUCAGCAUGGUAGGUCGUAGGAUGGCACUUGUUUAUAUUGUUUUUAAUCAUUAUACACUUACAUUAUUCUUAUUUGUUGGGUAGUUUGUUUAAUUGAUAUUUUGCUUUUCUCCCACAACGGAUUCCAAAGUGGCUUAUGAUGUAUGAUAACACGACAUAAAACAAUAUGUAAUAUAAGCAUUUUAAAAGCAUUGAACAACACCCUAUUAAAAUCUGACUUUAA